AGCGAACGCUGGCGGCAGGCUUAACACAUGCAAGUCGAGCGGGCAUCCUGUAGGUGUCAGCGGCAGACGGGUGAGUAACGCGUGGGAGCGUGCCCUUCGGUUCGAUAUAACUCUUGGUAACUUAUGCUAAUACCGGAUAUGUGCGAGAGCAGAAAAGUUUAUCUGCCGGAGGAUCGGCGCUCGUCUGAUUUGCUAGUUGGUGAGGUUAUGGCUCACCAAUGCCACGAUCAGUAGCUGGUGUGAGAGCAUGAUCAGACACCCUGGGAGUGAGACACGGUCGAGAAUACUACGGGAGGCAGCAGAGGGGAAUAUUGGAAUAUCGGGGCAAUCCUGAUCCAGCCAUGCCGCGUAAGUGAUGAUGGCGUUAGAGUUGUAAAGCUCUUUUAUUCGCGACGAUAAUGACGGUACCGGAGGAAUAAGCACCGGCUAACUUCGUG
rnacentral:rRNA from 1 species